GCCCUGCAGCUCUUCAAAGCUACAGAUGAUCGUACACAUCCGAGUCCUCUGGGAUUCGACUAUCCAAGCUUCUCCCACAAGCUCCUAUGUCACGAUCCCGGUCUUGCAUCCUUGAUAUGCCUUUCCAUCCCUGGCCAUAUCGCUUGACAAUAUUUAUGGCCUGUUCGUCCAUCACUGUGCAUUAUCACGAUCUUGGGGAUACAUGACCACACCACC
rnacentral:lncRNA from 1 species